ACUAACCCGAUAGCGAGUGAUUUUCGAACCAACACUCACAAUCAGGGGAGCAUCCUGAAAUUGGUGUUGUGCAAGACCACCCUGUAGUGGGAAGCCUGAACCGAUUCAUUCGCCCCCCCACUUGAACCUCAGGGUUCCAAAUCUGUGUCUGUCGGGUUAUGU
rnacentral:other from 1 species